UACGUAGGGUGCAAGCGUUAAUCGGAAUUACUGGGCGUAAAGCGUGCGCAGGCGGUUAUGUAAGACAGAUGUGAAAUGCCCGGGCUUAACCUGGGAACUGCAUUUGUGACUGCAUGGCUAGAGUUUGGCAGAGGGGGGUAGAAUUCCACGUGUAGCAGUGAAAUGCGUAGAUAUGUGGAGGAACACCGAUGGCGAAGGCAGCCCCCUGGGUCAAGAUUGACGCUCAUGCACGAAAGCGUGGGGAGCAAACAAGG
rnacentral:rRNA from 1 species